rnacentral:misc_RNA from 1 species
UGGUUCUGGCAACGAUGAAGAACGCAGCAAAACGCGAUAGUUAAUGUGAAUUGCAGAUUUCAGUGAAUCAUCGAGUUUUUGAACGCACAUUGCGCCCCCUGGUAUUCCGGGGGGCAUGCCUGUUCGAGCGUCAUUACAACAAUCAAGCCCGGCUUGGUCAUGGGAGCCCGUCCCCGGACGCUCCUCCAAGGCGUUGGCGGCCGGAGAAACGCACCGGAGCGUGGUAGAACACGUCCGCUCAGAGGUGCGUCCUCCGGCCCGCCCGACUGAAAAAAACACAACCAAGUCUUGACCUCGGAUCAGGCAGGGAUACCCGCUGA